rnacentral:rRNA from 1 species
UACAGAGGGUGCGAGCGUUGUUCGGAAUUAUUGGGCGUAAAGGGCGCGUAGGCGGUGCGGUAAGUCACCUGUGAAAUCUCCUGGCUCAACUGGGAGCUUGCAGGCGAAACUGCCGUGCUGGAGUGUGGGAGAGGUGAGUGGAAUUCCCGGUGUAGCGGUGAAAUGCGUAGAUAUCGGGAGGAACGCCUGUGGCGAAAGCGGCGAUCUGGGCAGAUACUGACGCUGAGGUGCGAAAGCGUGGGGAGCAAACAGG